rnacentral:ncRNA from 2 species
GGAAGCCGGUGUGAAUCCGGCACGGUCCCGCCACUGUGAUCCGGGCGCGCCACUGCCCGGGAGUCAGGUCAC